UGCCUUGGCUAUCAGUGUUGGCCCGGCUCAGCCACAGCGUGUGUUCUCACUGUAGCAGGGUCAAUCCUGCCCUGCUCCACCUUGGGCACUGUGACAAGGGCAUUGACCUUCACUCACCCCACUGACCAUGUCACCCUCACACACCGCCCUGCUCACCUGCCAUAUCCCUGCACAUGGCCCUGCCUGGUUCCCACUCUCCUGGCCACUGCAAUGUGCCGGCACCAUCUUGUUCGGGAUCCAACGGAGCCUACCACCUGCUUUUUGAGUGCUCAAGAAGGUUGGGGCUUUACUGGAGCAUCCCAUGUGUGAUACCUCUGGGAGCUGCUGGAGCCAAACAAGACGGACACAACAAAUGCCUUCUGGAUAUAAUCGUUCCCAGGCACAGCAGAAGGGAAGGAAGACUUUUAUAAACAAUUAUCCAUGCAAGCUGCAAGAGUAGCAUUUGCAGUAGCUCUCCAGGGCCCUGAUAAUACUCCCCGAGACAUGCCGAGAUGGAUAGGAUUUAUAAACCGUGGAUGGGUAUUUCCUACAUUGCAUCUCUCCUGGCUGUAUUAUCCCAUGAAGCUCUCUGCAGAAGACAUAUAUGUUCAUGAAAACAUUUUAUAGCCCUGUUGUGCUGGGAUUAAUAUCAGAUACGAAAGUCCAGACCACGUGUACUUUGUUCUUCCUAACACAUUUCCAAGUCUGCAAAUAGAAAAGAGUCCAAAGGAGCAGAUGACUAUUAACUAAUAUUCUUGCAAUGUCGUGCAAUUUUGGCAUUCCAUAUGCAGUUUUCAUAAUAAUUUACAGGCAUGCAUUUCUUCAAAAGCAGACAGUGAUAAAACAUUGUGUAAAGCCCUUUGGAUGCCCCUCUCCUCACCCCUGGAAUCUCCCUGAACUGUCCAUUCUCACUCUCCUCAUUUUUCAGGUCUGACCAGCACAACACAGAGUUGGGAACUUGCUGGACAGCUCAGCCUUGUCACUGGAGGGAACUGGAGGAGAUGUGGCAUUCACGGCAGAGCCAAUUAUCCUGCAGUGAACACUGCAGUCAGGUUAGCUGAACGUGGGUGUUCCCAGCGCCAGCCGGCAUCGGAUUCCAGCCCUCCCAGGGGACCGGAGCUCCUAGGCCGCGCUCUGACGAGGGAGACAGGCGUUCCGACAGCAGAGCAGCGCUAGCUACCAACCUCACCAGAAAACACAAGCUGAGGACAGAACCCCUGGCUAAAUAUAGAGCCCAGCUGGGAGAGAAAACAAUGUGGCAUUGCAGAUCCAUCAAAAUUAAGAAUGAAAACGUGAAGGUGCUGCUCACUGCCGACCCCCGGCUGCUCCCGGCGAGCGCCGCGUGCCCAGAGGUGCAGCCCGCCGCCCGGAUCCAGCAUGGAAUGGCACAGGAGGGACAGCACUGCUUUUAUUAGCACUUGGCCAUCAGUCAGCAGUCCACACUCCACAAAUAAAUGAACGGGCUGGGUGCAUGUCAUCCCAGUUCACGUGUUACAGAAAUAACGCUGGACUGGAACCAGAGUUAACACAGCUGAGAUUUGGGAUGUGGCUGAUUUGGAGAGGGCAGAUGGCAGGGCCUUGUUGGGCUGUACCUGCUCUUGGAGGCAGACCUGAUUUACAGCUCCAUCCAUCUUCUACACUCUAAUUUCCCUGCUUUAGUAGGUCAGCCUCCUGCUUCAUAUGGUACUUCUUUCAGAACAAAUAGACUAGGAGGAAGUCAAGGGUUUGGUGUAUAUUGGAUGGACUGAUUUGGUCACCUUUCCAAGACAAAACCAGUAGAGAAAUAGUAUGAAAAAAGUGAGUGAACCCAGAAGGUGUUUUGUGAAGAUUACUCCCAGAGGACCUGUGAACCAGGCAGUGAUGCUAUGCCAACAUGAGCCCUGCAAUGCCUUCAGUCCUGGUUCCUCAUCUGGGUCUGGCUGUGGCUUCAUGCUCAUGGCUUGUGUUGGAUUGGAUUUUUCCUCCUGUCUCGUGACAUUCAAACAGAGGUCAGGCCCUGUUACUUGCUGCAUUAAGCUUUGAGCCCAGUUCCCCAGUGAUGGAGCCUCUGCCACCAAGAGCUGCAGGAGCUGCUGUGAUCUUUCAGAAAGUGCCUGACCUGCCCUUGUUUUCCUACUUACUUUCCUUUACUCCUCCAGGAAACAGCUUUAACCAAAGCCACAUUGCAAGUGUGUUUUAUAACAACAAUGUACUGUUACUGUCACCGGUGGGUUUUCAGGCCAUGUCCCAACAUGUGUCCUUGCUGCAGCAAUGCCAGUAUCCCUCCUGGGACAGAGCCAAGCCUCACCAGUCCUAAAGGUUGGGUGCCUGCUCCAUCCCUGAGAGAGCCCUGGGCAGGGUGGCUGUCACCUCUGAGUUGUUGCAGGUCAGUACACUCAUCUGAAGAGCCCACGGGCUGGCAGAGGUCCCCACUGCCUCCACACCCUUUGAGAUGCUUGUUCUGUGCAGGAAACAGGGAGAAUUGCUGUCCUCAGGCCCUUGUGUCCUGAAGGAGCCACAGCUGGUGGGAUGCUGCAGCACCCCUGGUGCUCUGUGGAUCCUCACUCCAUCUUUCUGCAGGAAGGGAGGUGUAAAUCACCUGUACCACCCCAGCUGCAGGCUGGCCAGGCAGGUUCCUCAUGCCACCAAGCAGCCCUUCGAGGUGAACCCCUUGAUUAAAGCCUGUGUGAUGUCACAGAUGUGCACAGAUACCCUUAGCCCUAGGACUGUGCAACUGGCUGGUAAUGUGCAUGUUAAUAAGGCUAUUAAGGUUUACAAAUAUUCUGCUCUUCCUUACAGUUUAUAAUUUAAUUAAUUGCCAGUUAAUUGUCUUAUUUUCCCCCUGUGAUUGAUGUCAGUGAGUGGGAUUAGGCAGCAUCAGAUGACAGAGGAAGGAGGAAUGAAUGCAGCUUCCUAUGAUGGUGUGAGAGGAGAUGUUUUUAUGGACAAAUCCUUUCUGACAUGGAUGAAUACCUCAAUGAGAUAUCACAGAGUAUCAGCUCAAUACAUAUUGUAAUGGGAUCAUUAGUGGAGGUACCAGCUGUGUGAGGUUUGUAUUCACAAGCCACGAGUAAGUAACGGGGAAAUAUUGGCUCCUUGGAAAUGUUUGCCAAGCAUAAAUCUUCCCUGUUUUUACUGAGCUGGUGCUCAGUUUACAUAAACUGGGAAAUAAUUCUCUAAGGCUUGUGGGACUGCUCCAGCUACCCCUGAAUUUGGUCACGGCAGGGCAGCUUUGGUGAAAGAAGGGAAUCUAAAUGCAGGCCUGCUGGGCAAUAUUUUUCCAUGGGGAAAAAUUAAAGAGGAGGGUUUGAGGAGGGUGUAUAAGCCAGGCUGUGGCUCUGUCCCUAAAACAAAAAGCAUCUUUAUUUCUAAGCAGGGAAGGGGGGAUGGCUGAGCAGACACUGCAUCUUCUCUCCAGGAUUUUGAGUCUCUCACCAGGCUUGUUCACACCCUGCCCACCCCCGAAUGCCUGUUUGAUGGACAGGUCUGUGCAUCACAGACGGGCUGGGAAUAUCAUUCCUUCAGGAUCCCCCAGGGCCUGCAGAACGGGCAAUGUGCAGCCACUAGGGCCAAGUGGGUCACUCAGCUCAGGGUGAUUCUCGACCUGGAGGGGGCACAGAAGGAACUUCAGGGCUUUUGCCUUCCCUGAAUCCUUCUGGGUGACCAAAGGCAGCCAGCUCUAGGGGGGAACGGCAUUCCUGUAGCUCCCAAGUGCCAAGCAAGGGAUCUGGGGAAAACAAACACUCAGGUGACUUUUGACCAGACUUUGAUCGCAUUUCAGCAGAAUAAACCUGGAGUGAUUCCAGUGGCUUUGGUGUGAGUGGGAUCAGACUGUGAAACUGGGCUGUAUGGCAGAAAGCUGGAUGUUCCUGCUGGGGUGGGUGUGCAGUGUGGUUGAACCCCUGCUUAAAUCGGCACAAACUAACAAGGUCAUUUCUGAGGCUGGAAUCAGAACACGGAGCCGGCCAAGCCACAUCUGUCUCCUUUAAUUCAUUCCUUCCAUUUUGGGGACUUAGCUUUUAGGAACAGCUAUCUGUGAUUACAUAAAAGAGAUUAGCCAACAGUUCUGCAUAAAUCAAGGCCAGUGCAAGAUGUGUCCUAAGUGCAUUGCGAAACCUGGGGCUGGUGGAGGACAAGUUCCUCUUGGGGAGUGAGGCUCUGAGCAUGGGGCCAAGGGCAAAACCUUCCUGCUUCUCAAAAUGGCCCUUCAGGCAAAACCCUCUCCAAGCAGAGAUGGGCAUGGUGGGGCAGGGUCUGCCCUGGGGUUGUUUGGUGUGGAUUUUUUCACCAAAGCAGAUUUUCUAUCCGAGAUACACGAUGGAAACAAUGAAAGAAAGGAAAGGGCUGGAGAACCUUAUUGUAAACCAGAUCCCCAUGUGUGAAUGCAAAUAAAUCUUGCUGCUGAAGGAAAAGCCAAACCAGAAUGUGUUACAUUUAGUCUUUUAGCACAGUUGCUAAGAAAAUAUCUUGAUUCGAACACUGUUGGAUGACUCAACAAAUCUUUUUUUUUUUUUGCUUUUUUUUUUUUCCAUUUUGAGGCCAUUUCAUCAUUUUCCCCCCUGUUUGUUUGUCUGUUAACAUGCAGGGUGAGGUUGUCCCAAGGUCAGGGAGUUGGAAUUUCCCUUCCAGUGUUGCCCUACUGCUCCUCUCCUUUUUUUCUUGCUUUUUUUGCUGCAGGUCACAGCAGAUCUGUGGUGAGGUUGGUGGGGGAAGGCUCUGCCCUUCUCUCCCUCUCCAUCUGCCCUGGAUAGUGCCAGUCCCUUGACAGGAGAGCACCUGGCUGGGCAUUGUCCUUCCACCUCAUCAUCAAUAUGUCUGCAUCACAGCUUCCCUCCUGAGCAUUUAGGGCAAAAUUAGCAAAAGCAGUCUUGAAUUUUUGAUGUCUUUAUUUUUGGGGAACUGAACAUGAGACACAGCAGCUGAGUUUCAACAGAGCUGAACACCAGUAGCUCCUGUUACUGGCUGAGCACUCAUCGCUGCUUGAAAUCAGGCUUGGAGUGUCUUUAAUGGUAUUUAUUGUUUGGAGGAGAAUUGUGCAUCAAACCUGAGCAAGACCUGGGAGGAAUCAAACAAAAGGGGAUUUACACUCCCCUGGUAGGAAAUUGAAACAAUGUGCAAUUUAAGAUGUGCCACUUAAAUGUUUGUUGGCUCCUCAUGAUGGAACCACCUACCCAAAGGCAUUUAGAAUUAUUUUUUAAAAAGCAGAAAAAUGCUUAUUUCCUAUGGAAAUGUUCAGGAAACACAUAUGCCCUGGAAUAGAGCUGAAAAUGAAUCUGGUUAUCUUCCUUCAUCCUUUGAUCUCUAACAUCUUUCAAAAUCUGGCCUCCAAGUAAUGUGCCCGAGGAUGCACAAAAUCAAGAGCUGAAUCUUUAUCUCUUCCACUCCUCUCCACACUGCAGCUCACAACUCAGAUCCAUUGCUCCUCAGGACUAGCCCUGGCUGAGGCAGCCAACAAGACUAAUCCCAGAAAUACAGGUCCUGGAUGGGAAUUCAUAAAUACCCUGCACAGGGGCUCUCCCUGUUUCCUCCCAUCCAGGUUGCAGCUGCAUUUGUCCCGUGGUUCUCCCCAGAUGUGUGGUGAAUUUAAAGAUCUAUCCCAGUCCUUGACCUACAUGGAGGAGCAUGGAGCCAGUCAUUUCUGAACCAACAGCCACAGAGAGCCUGAGGCCUUUUCAUGCUGGAAAUAACCAUGGGGAGGAAGGAGAGUGCCUGCAGACAGCAACUGCUUCUGUAGUGAAGGGAAGUCUGAAGUUUCCCCUCUGCUUUUUCGUGCAUAACAGCAUCUGUAUGCCUCAUUUCCAUCUUCACAGCUCCUGUAAUUUACAUAAUGAACAUUUGCAAAGCCUGAGAUCUGGGUUCACUUUGUACCACAUUUACUGUAGAUGACCUUCAGCGAAUCAUCAGAAAAGUUUCCAAAGCAAUUUUCCCAAAGGGUGUGAACAUGAAACCUAAGAUCGUCAGGGAAGGAGGAAAGGAUAAUGAAAGCAGAUUUCUGAGAUAUCUGUCAUUCAAAGAUGUGUUUUCUCUUCUACAGCAGAGCAAAAAUAUUUGAAUUCAAAAAGAAGGGAAGUUUUGUCUUUAAAGCAGGUGUUGGUAUCAGGUCCCUCAAUAAAGUGACUUUAAUUAGGUUUGUCUUCCUAGAUCUGCAGAAAGACUAUUUCCUUGAUAAAAAUGCAUUUGAAAAAAUAUUAAGCAGAGGGGGGAAAAAACCCUCAGAGAGACAAUUUUAUUUGCAUUCUUUCAAAAGCAAUGGCUGUAAAAUGAGUUUAUCCACUUUGGCCCCCUGAUCAGGUAAUGAAUCUGAAAAAAAAGUCUGGUGACAAAUAACUGGCAAUCCAGCAGAGAUUCAGGACUGAGGAGGAAUUCUGACCUCAAAGGAUAGGAAUAGGACAUCAGGGUGAGAACAAGCAGCUGAAGGCACUUAUGGCUCCUCUGGAGGUGUCAGCUGCAGCUCUGAUUGCACCUCCUGAUAGUGCUCCAGCAAUCACAAAGUGAUAAAACAGGAACUGACCCAUUUUUGCUCCUGACACCCAUCCUCAAUGAACUGUCCUUUUCAGCCCCAAGUUCCUGCAGAGUUCAUCUGACAGAGUCCUGGGAAGCUGCAUCUCCCAGAUUAUAUUGAACUUUAUGAUAUAUUUACAUGGGACAACAGGGAACACACUUUUAUAGGUGUUGGUUGGCUUCUAGAUAAGCACAAAUCAGGGAUCAUCACUCAUCUGAGAGGUGCUUGUGAGUCCACUUUUUGUUUGCUGUUUGGGCAACAACACAGGUUAUUGCUCACUGCAGCAACGGAGGAUGCUUUGAAAGAAGAAAUUGAUGUUGUAACUGACUCAGGACUCCUGUUUGUACAGAAAAUGAGCUGAAAGCUGAAAUGCAGAGCCUUAUUCUGGUGAUGAAGAAGGGUUCUCAUAUCAGCUGUCAUAAGACUCUUCAGCCAGAAUGAAUCACAAACCCACCAUGAUAGGCAUGCUGGAAAUGCUCACGUAGAUAAACCUGACACUGUGCCCCUUGCUGUAGGCCAGGCACAUAUGAAGUGUUGUUUUACAUAAUAAUCUUGAGAAGGCAAGCAAGCUUUUUAGAUUCCUCUGUGCUUUGAAAACAGUGCCCUGUGUGCCCUCCUCUUGGGGCAGGUAGGUGUAUUUGCACCCUGCCAGGUAAUUACAGUGUGAUGGGUAUUAGCCUGUAUCUUCCUGCCUCUGGUUUGUUGCCACAGGUUUAUCCAUAUAUCCUUUGGGACUGAUGUUUCAGCUAUAGGGCCACUGUAUGGGUGAGAACUGGAAUCGGGGUGAAUCUUCACCAGCUUGUUCCUUUUAGUGUGGUCUGGCUCUUGGACUCCAGUCAUUACCUUGGCCUGCAGGCAGAUAAUUGUUUAAUUAAGAAUUUGGAAGAUGGGCUGCAUGUGGCAAACUUUCCACCUUGGGACCAAGAAGGAAAGGGGGUGGUUUGGAGGGAGAAGAGAAAUGCUGCUGUUUGAUGGGCCCUGGGAGGGACCUCUGUCCUCAGUGGCUGCUGUGUCACUGGAACAGGAGCAGCUGUGUCAGGUGAGGUGUCCAGCACCACAUUUCCUGAGCCAAAUAUGGGAUCUGUGCAGCUCCCCUAUGCAUUGCCCUAAAAUGUCAUGAGUCUGCCAUAGUCACAAUUCAGGGCUGCUGGACCUUCCUUCUAGAUUGGGAGGGCUUUUGCUUGUAGCCUUAAAGAAAGACACUGUGGUUUUCAAGCACAUGCUGGAUUGUGAACAAAUGGUUAAUGUUGCUGCAAGGAAGCUGGCUUAGGAAUGUUUCCUCCUUUCAGCCUGCCCUUUUUCUAUAUUUCUUUCCUUUUUUUUUUUUUCUUUCACGGUACCAUAUAGUGUUUAAUAAUUCAAUACAUACAUAAUCCAAAAUAAACACACUAAUUAACCUUUGUUUUGAGAAAUUUAAUUAGUUAAUGCUUAGUCUCUGUUCAGCUUCCAAACAGUUUGGAGUGGGAAAGGUGCCAUGGGGAAAGCAUGGCAAAAUAUGUUUAAUGCUGAGCACCUUCAAUUAUUUAAACAGUAACGUGGGCUGGACCAAUUAAAAAACAACGUUGUUAUACAGGCAUAUACAUGCUGAAAUAUCUCGAUGUAGUGUUCUCAAACUCCAGCCUUGCUGCAGAAUAUGUGGUGAAAUAUAUCUGUGCAUAAACCAACUGUAUGGAGGAGGGAAGCUGGUGGAUGAGGAGUGAUUCAGCUGCUUGCCAGCAGCCCCAGAACUUCCCUGCUGGGCUCAGGGUGCAGCAGGGGUAAGGGAGGUGCUAAAGCUGUUGUGGUGGUGGCUGCCCAUCCUCGCUGGGGGAAGCUGGAGGACAAAUCUUGCCCUGUGUCCCAAAUAGAUGAUGAAUUUUCUGAAAGGUCAACUGCUGUGCUCUGACUCACUAGUACAAAUCAUCCACGGCCCAAGUGCCUUCCUUCAAAAUAUGUUACUGUAGGGUAAUAAUUUUAGCCAAAUCCUCAAGCUUUAAUAUUCUUCCCCAGAUGAACUGUAAAUAAAAUUAUUUCCUAAGA